rnacentral:lncRNA from 1 species
GGGGUCAAAACAUAAUAUUAAAAAGUUUGAAUUUUUUUUUAAAAAAACACUGUUGAACCGGAAAAUCGGUUUUUUCCGGUCAAACCCGGUCAAAAUCGGUUUUUGACCGACUUUGACCGAGUUUUAAAUUCCCGGUUUUUUAGUAUGGCUCGGGCCGACUAUCUGACCGAUUUUCGAUUCGACCGGUCGGUCCGGUCCGAAUUUCAAAACAGAGGUUCUAUCUGCUAAUUUGUUGUACAACAUGUAGCAAUUGAUUGAACUUUGAAGAUCAGUCAAUAAGUGCUAAGUACCAACAACUCCUUUGUUUUUUUAUUAUUUUUUUAUUUGACCGAGGAGUGGAAUAAUAGUUUUCAUUUUUCAAACUUCCCGGGAAGAUUAAAAUAUUGACCACUUCUUCAACUUGACACGAGAGACCGUCAAAUUUGGCGAUUGAAUUUCGAUUAUUAUUAAUGAGACCGAGGAGGGUUCUUAAUAGGACU